CGAUUUUGCUUCAUAUAUCAUCUAAACCAACCCUCACUGCCCUCCUAAGAUAUAGGUACUGUUAAGAUCCUUUUUUAUACAUGGGGAGAAUCAGGCUUAGAGAAGUUAAGUAAUUCACCAAAACACACACAGCCGAUAAGAGGGAGACUUGAACCCCGUCCUGCUGACUUACAGAGUCCAAGUGUCACAUUUCUCCUCCCUUUGCUCCCAGCAGCUUUGUAGAUCCAGGCCCCGGUCUCUCAUGAGAACUUUCUGUACAUCUCACACUUCAGUUCCACAGGAUACCAGAAGAACUGUGACCAGCACUACUGUAACAAGGCUGGACCAGGCCCUGCAGCUGGAGAUGGAAGAUGGUGUUUCCUUGAGAAGAUUACCAUAAAGAAGAGAGACGAGAGUCAUCACUACAGCACAGGUGAACACAAUCGACCAGCCAAGGUGAUUCACACACUUCAGCUUGAAGCUGAUCUGCCACUUGUGUCUUCUUGUCUCUAUUGAAUUAAGUUCCUGAGACCUAAUCCUUCCCAUCACUAGUAUCGGUGCUUUUAUUUUUGUUUUCUACUUAGUUGGAUAACAUAGUGAAGGAAAAUGUGCUAAUAUAAUAGAAAUAAUUGCAUUAAUAAGCCUGGUAAACAGGCAGAGACAGUGGGAGCCAUGGCCAGAGGCAAGCUGCUGGCAGCCAGGCAGUACCACCAUACAAAAGCUCACAAAUUUCUUUCAAGAAAUGCCAUACGGCUGGGCAUGGUGGCUCAUGCCUGUAAUCCCAACGCUUCGGGAGGCCUAGAUGGGUAGAUCACUUGAGGUCAGGAGUUCAAGACCAGCCUGGGCAAUAUGGUGAAACCCCCCGUCUCUACUAAAAAUACAAAAAUUAGUCAGGCAUGGUGGUGCAUGCCUGUAAUCCCAGCUACUCAGGAGGCUGAGGCAGAAGAAUCGCUUGAACCUAAGAGGCAGAAGUUGCAGUGAGCCGAGAUCAUGCCACUGCACUCCAGCCUGGGUGACAGAGUGAGAGUCCAUCUCAAAAAAAAAAAAAAAAAAGAGAGAGUUCAUAAUGUCUGCGUGUGAAGGUGUAGGCUAUAUGACAGCUAAAUAUAUAACAGUGAGGACCAUCUGGCUUCAAUUUACAGAUUUAUUUAUGUAAAAACUCUCUUCUAUUUCUUCACCUUAAAGAAACAUGAAUAAAAUAUCCAACGCUCUCACUGGUGCAAUUCCUGAGAGAUUCCUUUGUCGUAUUGGGAUCUGUCAAUGGGUAGAUAAGGAGAAACAAAGGAAGGGAUAGAAGUGACACAGAGAGAGAGAGAGAAGGUAAAAAAUAAAGGGAGAAGCAGAAAAAAUCUUUUUAAAAACCUAUAAUUAAUAUACUUUGAAUGCUAAGGUAUUGCCUUAAUGAAAUGAGACCAGGAAAUUGUGAAAAAACAAUAACCAGAGAACAAAAAGGAGCUCUUGGAAAUAAAAAUAAAGCAGAAAAAAA
rnacentral:lncRNA from 1 species